ACAGCAGUCGCCGCGGUAAUACGAGGGGAGCUAGCGUUGUUCGGAAUUACUGGGCGUAAAGCGCGCGUAGGCGGCUUUUUAAGUCGGAGGUGAAAGCCCGGGGCUCAACCCCGGAAUUGCCUUUGAAACUGGAAAGCUAGAAUCUUGGAGAGGUCAGUGGAAUUCCGAGUGUAGAGGUGAAAUUCGUAGAUAUUCGGAAGAACACCAGUGGCGAAGGCGACUGACUGGACAAGUAUUGACGCUGAGGUGCGAAAGCGUGGGGAGCAAACAGGAUUAGAUACCCCUGUAGUCCCUGUCUCUUAUAC
rnacentral:rRNA from 1 species